rnacentral:rRNA from 1 species
GACGAACGCUGGCGGCGUGCUUAACACAUGCAAGUCGAGCGGUAAGGCCCUUUCAGGGGUACACGAGCGGCGAACGGGUGAGUAACACGUGGGUGACCUGCCCUUAGCUCUGGGAUAAGCCUGGGAAACUGGGUCUAAUACCGGAUAUGACUCCAUGACGCAUGUUGUGGGGUGGAAAGCCUUGUGCGGCUAGGGAUGGGCCCGCGGCCUAUCAGCUUGUUGGUGGGGUGANGGCCUACCAAGGCGACGACGGGUAGCCGGCCUGAGAGGGCGACCGGCCACACUGGGACUGAGACACGGCCCAGACUCCUACGGGAGGCAGCAGUGGGGAAUCUUGCGCAAUGGGCGAAAGCCUGACGCAGCGACGCCGCGUGAGGGAUGACGGCC